UUAUGUAGAAGAGGAGCACUACCCAGGUAGAUGAUUUGUGGAACCGCAAUUCCCAUACCAAUCAUUCAGGGGGAGUAGUGCCGAGGUAAGCCAAAGUUGUGGUUUUGGCUUGUCGGUUGACUUGGGUUGAAUCCCAUCAACUGUCAUCAGUGCCGUCUGGUGAAGAGCUUCUGAGGGU
rnacentral:ncRNA from 1 species